UAAAUUUUAUUUGUUUAUAAUUUGGUAUUGCAUAUCAUUUAAGAAAAAUUUUAUAAUAAUAAAUAAUAAAAUUAAAGGGUAGAAAAAUUUAUUUUUUUUAUUGUUUCAUAAUAAAAAUUAUAAUUUUUAGAGUUGAAAAGUCGACCUUUAGGAUAUUUGUGUUGUUUAGAAAAUUAGAAAGUUAUUUUGUAGUUGAGAUAUUUUUAUAAAAAGUAAAAGUUGAAGUAUUUUUUCUUCUAGUUUUAUAACUGUUUAUAUUAUAUAAAAGAUUAUGUUAGUUGAUGAAAAUAUAUAAUAAAACAAUAUUAUAUAGAUUAUUUUAAAAUUAGUAGCUAAAGUUUACAAUCAAAUGUAGAUAUAUCUAAUUUAAUUAAAAAACUCAAAAAUUAAUCAAAUGUUUAUUAAAGACUUAGACUUUUUAAUAAAGUUUGCUUCUGCCCGGUGAUGUAAUUUAAAUGGCAGUCUUAGCGUGAGGACAUUAAGGUAGCAAAAUAAUUUGUGCUUUUAUUGAGUUCCAGUAUGAAUGAAGUUAUUGGUUAAUUUAUUUUUUGAUUUUUAGGUGAAUUUUUAAUUAGUAAUAAAAAAGUAUUGUUAUAAUAAGACAAAGAUAAGUCUUCGGAAAUUCUUUUUUAAAAAUAAUUAAGAUUAUUUUUAAAAAUUUUCUAGGGCAGAAUAUUAUAUAAUUUUAAUACCUAUUUAUAAUUUAAUGAAUUACUCCGGAGUUAACAGAAAAUCAUAUCUAAUCUAGUUCUUAUAGUAAGAUAAGUUUUACAUCGAUGUUGUAUUUAAGUUUAUUAAAAAAGGAGAAAAUUUAAAUUUUAAGACUGUUCUUCUUUUAAUUAAUUUAACGUGAUAUUAGUUUAAUUCAUUGUGAGAUAGAAUUGUUUAUCUUGUUUAUUAUUUUUAAAAAGUUUUAAUAGUACGAAAGGAAAAUUAAAAAAAGUUUUAAACU
rnacentral:rRNA from 1 species